rnacentral:siRNA from 1 species
AGUAUCUCGUUGAAGUCCCCUGUG